CUCUCCCCUGGUAUAACAGACAACAAAUAAUUAGAAUUAACAGAUCUAUGAAGCACAUCAGUCGCCUGCAGACUUCACAGAAGUUUCCGUCGGGGCUCGAAGUGUUGUGCACUCUUAUUUAGGACUCUUGUUAAACAAACCUCAUUUUCUCUACAAACAAUGCAGUGUUCUAGUAAUAAAAAGGAAUGUUAUAUUUCUAUGAUUGAAAAAAGAACUUCCAAAUAUGAGGAAAAGGAUGAUCUUUCGGACAUCGUUCUGAUAGUAGAGGACAAGAAGCUUCACGUCAAUAAAGCCUUGUUGAUGAUACAUUCCAAUGUGUUUAAGACAAUGUUCACCGGAUCCUUCAUUGAAAAGGAUUUAUCAGAGAUUCCACUUCCAGGAAAGAAAGUGAAUUUAAUGGUGGAGCUAUUGGACCAUAUCCAUCCCGGAGACUCUACUGGCAACUUUAACGAUGAAACUCUACGUGAACUACUUCAACUCGCCGAUGAGUAUGGUGUCCAGCAGGUCUUUCACAACUGCCGAGCAUACUUCGACAGACGCAUAAAUUGCAAGAAUCAAGACAUGAAGAUUAGUGAAAUUUUACUCUUCCUUGGGAUAGUCGAAGAGUGGAGCAACGAAUACGAUCAACUAAGUUCGUUCAGAUCUUAUUUAAUUAGAAAGGCAAGUAGAAUACAAAUGUGUCUUUUGAAAAUUAACAAAUAUUAUUCUUCUCUACCUGCUACAACUCAAAGAGACAUCCUCAUGCGUCAUCUUGAUAGAGUCGAAAGAAGUUAAGAAGUAUAAGACCUAGAGUUAAACAAUUGGCUAGUAGGAUUGAAACUACUGAUGGCUUUUCAUUGUAAUCCUUUGUGAUGAGCUUUUGUGUCAGACACAUCUUAUAAACACCCACAUAAGGUUUUCUGUGAAACAUUUAGGACGAUUCAGAGUUCUGUGAGUCCAUCUCAGGAUUGAUGACAAUUACUUUUGUAACAAGAUCAUAACAUAUAUCGAUCGAUUAUCAUUAAUAUUCAUCAAUUGGAGUAGUUCACGCUGUUUAUAUGUGAGAUUAGUUCGAUGUUACACGGGGUCCAAUUAAUCUCAUUAGACUUCAUGCCAGCAGUCUACACAAAAGUUAUAUCGGACAUUCCUAUAAUAAACGAUAGCACAUGUUGGACAAUAUUUUAUAUUAACUGAAACUAUUUUGAUAGUAAAUAUAUUUUGAAAUUUUUAUCUAGAGAUUCUGUGUAUCAUUAGUUUAUAGAUAAACAGAUUUUGCUCCAAGGAACUUACUCUUGCACAGCACACUACAGUUAGUAACUGAAUUUCUAGCCAAAUACUUUUUGUUAUUAAUAUUUUUCCCAAACUGUCUGCUACUCAGUAUUUAGCAACAUUGAAUGCUCAAAUUGCCAACUAUUAUGUUGCACUAACACUAAAUCUUACGGAAGACAUCGUUUAUAUGAGUAGUUUGUGUAGUGGAAGUGAUCAAAGCUAUGUGUGACUAUGUCUGAGAGUAAUAUACCGCAAGUAACACAUAAGUAAGUUUACAUUUGUUUUCAUUCUCAUCUAUUCUAAUAGCAAAUAAAGGUGUCUACUUAACUUGCA